GAAGGAGAUGAGAUCAGAGAGGAAAUGGAGAGUCAUCAUUUAAGGACCCAGAGGCCUUCGUGGGGAGUUUGGAUUCUACUCUGAACGAUGUGGGGAGCCAUCGGAGAACGACAUGCUCGGACUUUAAAAAGGAUCACACUGGCGGCUGUAAGGAAAAAUGACUGGCGGAGGAAGCGGUGGAAGCUGGGAGACCCUGAAGAGGCAACUGUAGACUUCCAGGGAUGAGGUCACAAUCCUGGAAGUCAGGAGAGGAAGUCCCGGCCAUCAUUUUUCUCGAUUCAAGUGCAGUUUUGAGAACUGAAACGCCAGGACUGCUGGCGGCAGGGGAAGCAGAAGUCAGUGACCCAGCCACAGAAACCUCGCCCUGUGGACGGUGCGUUCGAAGGAGCAUGGAGUCACCUGCACUCCAAGUCCUGCCGAGCCAGCGUGCAGGGAUCGCAGCCCACGCCCCAGCGGCUUUUCUGCGGACGAGGAAAAUCGGGAUCAGCAGCCUCGCCCCAAGCUGGGGAUCACGGAAGGCUGACACUUACAUCUGGGAAAGACUUACUCCCUACCUGAGUCUCAGUUAAAAGAAAACAGAAGUCCUGGGUUUCAUCAGGUGCCCAUUCCUGGACUGUUCAAUUGUG
rnacentral:lncRNA from 1 species